UACGUAGGGGCAAGCGUUGUCCGGAAUCAUUGGGCGUAAAGCGCGUGUAGGCGGCCAGAUAAGUCCGCUGUGAAAUCUCGAGGCUCAACUUCGAGCUGUCGGUGGAAACUGUCUGGCUAGAGUCCGGAAGAGGAGAAUGGAAUUCCUGGUGUAGCGGUGAAAUGCGCAGAUAUCAGGAAGAACACCCGUGGCGAAGGCGGUUCUCUGGGACGGUACUGACGCUGAGACGCGAAAAGCGUGGGGGAGCGAACAGG
rnacentral:rRNA from 1 species